GACGAACGCUGGCGGCGUGCUUAACACAUGCAAGUCGAACGAUGAAGAAAAGAAUCGAAGCUUCGGCAGAAAUUCAUUUCGGAUUAGUGGCAGACGGGUGAGUAACGCGUGAGCAACCUACCUCUUACAAAGGGAUAGCCUCUGGAAACCGGGAUUAAUACCAUAUAACAUUGUGACGAAGCAUUUCGAUGCAAUCAAAGCUACGGCGGUAAGAGAUGGGCUCGCGUCCCAUUAAACGGAUGGUGAGGUAACGGCUCACCAUAGUGACGAUGGGUAACCGGCCUGAGAGGGUGAACGGUCACACUGGAACUGAGACACGGUCCAGACUCCUACGGGAGGCAGCAGUGGGGAAUAUUGCACAAUGGAGGGAACUCUGAUGCAGCGACGCCGCGUGAGUGAUGAAGGAAUUCGUUUCGUAAAACUCUGUUCUAUGGGAAGAAAAGGACUGUACCAUAGGAGAAAGCUCCGGCUAAAUACGUG
rnacentral:rRNA from 1 species